rnacentral:rRNA from 1 species
GACGAACGCUGGCGGCGUGCUUAACACAUGCAAGUCGAACGGUAAGGCCCUUCGGGGUACACGAGUGGCGAACGGGUGAGUAACACGUGGGUGAUCUGCCCUGCACUUCGGGAUAAGCCUGGGAAACUGGGUCUAAUACCGGAUAGGACUCCGGACUGCAUGGUCUGGGGUGGAAAGCUUUUGCGGUGUGGGAUGGGCCCGCGGCCUAUCAGCUUGUUGGGGGGGUGAUGGCCUACCAAGGCGACGACGGGUGGCCGGCCUGAGAGGGUGACCGGCCACACUGGGAGUGGGAUACGGCCCAGACUCCUACGGGAGGCAGCAGUGGGGAAUAUUGCACAAUGGGCGCAAGCCUGAUGCAGCGACGCCGCGUGAGGGAUGACGGCCUUCGGGUUGUAAACUUCUUUCAGCAUCGACGAAGCGAAAGUGACGGUAGGUGCAGAAGAAGGACCGGCCAACUACGUGCCAGCAGCCGCGGUAA